CUUACACAAAAACAAUUGGCCCUUUGACCCGGUCGAAAGGCUCUCAAAUGGAAAUCAGCCAAGAAGCAGCCGAUCAACGAAGCGAAGAAGAAGCCCUCCUCAUUCAGAAACAACGAAGAAGAAGGAGAACGAGAUUAAUUGUGAAAAUUUUAUUUUGGUUUCAACUCACUUGGUAAGUACUUCAUUGUCAAAAAUAUGUAAGAAUAAAUACUUUUUUUUUUUUUCUAAUGGUUUUGGUAUGCCUCAAGUUUCUUAUAGAUUUGAUUCAGGCAUUUUCUUCCGAAAAGAAUACCCUGUUGUGGUUGCAAAGGACACAUAGUUUUUCCAACUGCUGAUUUUGGUAUGUGGCCCCUUUAUCUUAUACUUGCAUAUAGCUUCUUUAUGUACUGCCCGUUUGUUUAGGAGAUGCGAAGUGUUAUUCUUUUUUGCUAAAUGUGAUCUUUGUAAUUUGUAUGAUUGAUGUUGUUGUUGACAAUUGUAGGAAGCUGGAUGUGUUAUUUUUUAUGAUUGAAGGUGCUGUUGUUGUGUUUUUUUGACCUGUUAGGAAUGGUCUCUUGUUUUACUUUCACAAAAUGUUACUCUGGUUCUUUGUAUCAUUUUUUUAUACUUGGGAUAACAUACAAGCUCAUAUAAUGCUAAAUUCAAUUGAAAAUUCAGCAUGGUACAAUGAUGCCAUUAAUGGAACCAUGUCUGGCUGUAAUGCUAAUGCACAUGUUAUAACUAACAAUUGAGUGCUUAGAAGGAUUCUGUGUUUAUUAUCCUUUCUAAAAUGUAUACUAUUGGUCAUGUUGUUAAGAUCAAAGUUGAUUGUGUUUAGGAUUUGACAAGUCUGGAAAAUUAUUCAGUAAUUAGUAUUUAUCAUAAAGUUUGAGACCAAACGGCUUUUAUAUCAUUUAGACAAAGUGAUAUUUAUAUGCUAAUAGAGGAGCCUAUCUAGGCCAUUAAUAUAACAUCUACCAUGUAGUAGUUGGGUUUCGUGGUUAGUGGAACCAAACUAGGCCACUGGGUUUUGUAACAUCUACCUUUGUAGUUGGGUUUUGUGGAGAUGACUCAAGCAACCAAGAAUAAGAUUUGUCUAUUGUCAUUUUGAGGAACAAGGAUUGCUGUUGCUGCCUUUUUUUUUUUUCCUGUUUUUUAUUACCUUUGAAAAAUGGAUUUAUGUUUUCAAAUGUUGAAAAAUGGAAUGAUGUUAAAAACCAAUUUCUUAAUUUAAUUGUGAAUUUCUUUAUGUUUGGAGGAUACCAUUUGUUUCUACCAAGUCCAGCUGGUACAGAGUUGCAAAUUGGAGGCAUCAGUUUGUUCUAGGUAAUAGAAUUAUGGUAAAAAAUCAACAUGGCUCUAGAAAUGUGAGAAGCCCGAUUAUGCCAUUUUUUUGCUUCUUGAAAAAGUGAUCUAAAGUCAAAUCAUCAACCAAAUUUUGUCCCUUUUUAUGAUCUUUCUGCAGGAUGGAGUACAUAUACGACAUCAAUGAUCGAUGUGAUGCGAAGGUCACGGCACAUUCUAAAGUGUCAAGUGUGGAGAAAGUAUAUGAUGCAUUUGAUGAUGUUCAUAAGGAGAUGUUCUUGAAUUCAUGCUUCGGUAAAUUAUACAUUAGAAAUAUGAAAAUAUCUGCCCAACUAAUUUGCAACUUGUUAUUACGACUAAUUGUCUCUGUGAACGAGGAUGAACUAUGAUUUUGUUUAAUAUUGGAAAAAGUUGUCCGUUUCCUUUUGUACGAGUUUACGUUCGUUACAGGGUUAAGUCUUAUUAAUGAGGAGGAGUAUCAG
rnacentral:lncRNA from 1 species